rfam:Stegodyphus mimosarum contig126187, whole genome shotgun sequence.
GACUUCGUGGUUUAAUGGUAGCACACUCGGCGCGUGUUCGAGAGGUCCAGGUUCGAGUCCCGGCGAGGGCA